CAUUCACGGAGAGUUUGAUCCUGGCUCAGGACGAACGCUGGCGGCGUGCUUAACACAUGCAAGUCGAACGAUGAAGCCUUUCGGGGUGGAUUAGUGGCGAACGGGUGAGUAACACGUGGGCAAUCUGCCCUUCACUCUGGGACAAGCCCUGGAAACGGGGUCUAAUACCGGAUAACACUCUGUCCUGCAUGGGACGGGGUUGAAAGCUCCGGCGGUGAAGGAUGAGCCCGCGGCCUAUCAGCUUGUUGGUGGGGUAAUGGCCUACCAAGGCGACGACGGGUAGCCGGCCUGAGAGGGCGACCGGCCACACUGGGACUGAGACACGGCCCAGACUCCUACGGGAGGCAGCAGUGGGGAAUAUUGCACAAUGGGCGAAAGCCUGAUGCAGCGACGCCGCGUGAGGGAUGACGGCCUUCGGGUUGUAAACCUCUUUCAGCAGGGAAGAAGCGCAAGUGACGGUACCUGCAGAAGAAGCGCCGGCUAACUACGUGCCAGCAGCCGCGGUA
rnacentral:rRNA from 1 species